rnacentral:lncRNA from 1 species
CCACUUUCCUGUCACACGUGGCUCCUUUUCCCUCACAGAAUUGCCCCUCACGCCAGUGCUGGGUCCUGGCUGUGCCAGCUGGUGCCACAGGUGACUCAGGGCUCGUGUCACGGCAUUGAUGUCACCUCCUGCCAUCAUGGAGCCUUUCAGGUGCUGUUUGCACCCCAAAAUUCAGCUGUGGGAUUUGUUUCCUCAGCAGUUUCUCCAUGUUGGUUUUGGGAUGGUCUGCUGUAUCCAGGAGGCCUGAGCCAGGCCAGGCCCUGCUGGCUGUCCCCAUGCUGGCUGUCCCCAUGCUGGCUGUCCCCAUGCUGGCUGUCCCCAUCCCUCAGGUCUCCCAGGCCAGGCUCUGUCCGUCCGUCUGUCCAGCUGUUUCCCGCCCUCGCUGUUUCCUUUCCCUGCAGCUCUGUGUCAGCCUUUGUCCGUCUGUCAGCCCUGACCCGGCUGUUUCCGUCCCCCUGUCUGCCUGUGCCAGUCCCCAUCACUCCUGUCCCUCUGUCCUGGCAUUUCCUGUCCGUGUGUCUGGCAGUGCCCGGCCUUGGCCUCGCCCUGCUGCUGCUUGUCGGCUCUCCCUGCCCUGCCUGUCCUGGUGUCCGGUGCCAGCUGCUCUCUGCCAGCUGCCCUGUGCCUGUCCUGCUCAGCUCACGGUCCCUGUCCCUCUGUCCUGGCUGCUCCUGGCCUGGGUGUCCCCUGCCCACCCCCGGGUGUCCCACUCCUGUCCCUGUCCUAGUCCCUGGGUGUCCCUUUCCUGAUCCUGUUCCUGGGUGUCCCCUGUCCAUCCUGGGUGUCCCACUCUUGUCCCCGUGUGCCCUGUCCUGGUCCCUGGAUGUCCCUCCCUGUUCCCGGGGGUCCCUUGCCCAUCCCGGUCCCAUCCCAGUGCCAGUGCUGGUUCUGCUGUCCGGUGCCGGUUCCCGUUCCCACCCCGCCAUCCCAGUGCUGGUGCCGGUUCUGCUGUCCUGGUGCCGGUUCCCGUUCCCGGUGCCGGUUCCCGUUCCCACCCCUCCAUCCUGGUGCCGGUUCCAGCUGUCCCGGUUCCGGUUCUGCUGUCCUGGUUCCCGUUCCCUUUCCCACCCCGCCAUCCCGGUGCCGGUUCCCGGUCCCUCCCGCCGGGCGGGC